rnacentral:rRNA from 1 species
AACGAACGCUGGCGGCAGGCCUAACACAUGCAAGUCGAACGAGAAGCCACCUUCGGGUGGUGGAAAGUGGCAGACGGGUGAGUAACGCGUGGGAACGUGCCUUUCGGUUCGGGACAACCCAGGGAAACUUGGGCAAAUACCGGAUACGCCCUUCGGGGGAAAGAUUCAUUGCCGAAAGAUCGGCCCGCGUCGGAUUAGCUAGUUGGUAGGGUAAUGGCCUACCAAGGCGACGAUCCGUAGCUGGUCUGAGAGGAUGACCAGCCACACUGGGACUGAGACACGGCCCAGACUCCUACGGGAGGCAGCAGUGGGGAGUAUUGGACAAUGGGCGCAAGCCUGAUCCAGCCAUGCCGCGUGGGUGAAGAAGGCCUUAGGGUUGUAAACCCCUUUCAGCGGGGAAGAUAAUGACGGUACCCGCAGAAGAAGUCCCGGCUAACUCCGUGCCAGCCGCCGCAGUAACAC